rnacentral:lncRNA from 1 species
UGUAUUAAAAAUCUCAAAUGCAGAAACGUAAUAAAAAUUUGAUUAACAUUCAUUACACAAUAACCAAAAUGUACUCAAAACAUAAAAAAACAAACUAACUAAAAGAGAUACUCGAAAUAAGAACUAUAAGUAUAACUAUGAAAUCUUUAGGCGUCCCCUUCGCCGUCUUCUUGAGGAACAGGCUCAGGAACAACGUCUUCAUGAUCUGAAAUGAUUAAAUAAGGAAUAAACUACACCAGCCCAGUAAAGACAUCACACUAUCUCACUGCCACGGAAGUAAAUGUGGGUAGAAAGCAAAAAUGACUAAUAGAGCAUAAUUUAUAACAAACUCGUUUAUCAACAUAAAAACCUUUACUGUCCACUUACCUCGGUGAGAUCCAUGAAAACGACAUAUGAAAGCAAUAACAUUAUCAUCAUCAUGAAAUCAUAUAAACUGUAUAACAUAACACUUACCACGCAUUUGCAUUUCAAUCAUUAAACAACAUAU